AGUAGAAGGUGUAAUGACGAUGGACAUCUCAUGAAAAGACGGACGGUGAAUGGCUUUCAUCAAAUCUGAGGAUAAUUCGGGAAGAUUUCAACGGUCUUCAGAUGUAAUUAAGGUUUCACGAAGUAAGCGAGUAAUUGCUUUUUGAUUUACCGUCUUAUGACUUUACCUGCUUAUUGAAGAAUAAUACUAAAAACGACUGCUUCAGACAGAAAUAACACUACACUCCCCUACCUUGACAUCCCAGAAAAAGCUCUCACCUGACAA